rnacentral:rRNA from 1 species
ACUCCUACGGGAGGCAGCAGUAAGGAAUAUUGGUCAAUGGACGGAAGUCUGAACCAGCCAUGCCGCGUGAAGGAUGAAGGCCCUCUGGGUUGUAAACUUCUUUUAUCUGGGACGAAAAAAGGGAAUUCUUUCUCACUUGACGGUACCAGAGGAAUAAGCACCGGCUAACUCCGUGCCAGCAGCCGCGGUAAUACGGAGGGUGCAAGCGUUAUCCGGAUUUACUGGGUUUAAAGGGUGCGUAGGUGGAUAAGUAAGUCAGUGGUGAAAUCUCCGGGCUUAACCCGGAAACUGCCAUUGAUACUAUUUGUCUUGAAUACUUUGGAGGUAAGCGGAAUAUGUCAUGUAGCGGUGAAAUGCGUAGAGAUC